GCAGUAAGAUUUGUGGAGUUGACACGUGAAGUACUGCUUCAGGGAAAGGUUAAAUUUUUGAGAAGGUGGUUGUCUGAAGAGUUCAUGCAAAAUAAUUUGGAGUGCUGGAGGUAAUUGGAGAGACCCCUAAUAUCAUUAAAGGUCUGAAAGAUGCCAGGUGCUGCCUCUGUGAAGACACCGGUACUCCAUUCACAUAUCUUACCAGAAAAGUAACUUUCACUUGUGACUCUCUACAUUGCUGCUGCUGCUGCUAAGUCGCUUCAGUCGUGUCCAACGCUGUGCGACCCCACAGACGGCAGCCCACCAGGCUCCCCCAUCCCUGGGAUUCUCCAGGCAAGAACACUGGAGUGGGUUGCCGUUUCCUUCUCCAAUGCAUGAAAGUGAAAAGUGAAAGUGAAGUCGCUCAGUCGUGUCUGACUCUUCGCGACCCCAUGGACUGCAGCCCACCAGGCUCCUCCGUCCAUGGGGUUUUCCCGGCAGGAGUACUGGAGUGGGGUGCCAUUGCCUUCUCCGGACUCUCUACAUUAGGUGUUGACAAACUGUGAUUCAUAGUCCACUCCCUGCCCAUCACCUGGUUCUGUGAAUACAGUUUUACUGAAACAUAGCCAUGCCUAUGUGGCUUAUAUAAUUUCUGUAGCUACCCGCUGAGUUGUGACAGAGACCAUAUGUCUCAUAAAGCAUAUGUCCCAUAUUUACUGUCUAGCCUUUUACAGAAAAAGUUUGUUAACCCUCAUUCAACAUAUUAAAAAGAAACAGAAGUACCUUUGAUGCUAUUUAAAUUUUGUUGUAUCCUGGAAUGAAACUCCAAACUUGAAGGAGACUUACUGUAUUUCUUAGUUAGAAGUGAGAAUGACUAUUCUUUGUAUUCCGCAUUGCUAAUUCUUUACGUUUCAUGUUUUGUGUUGGAUUAACCGUACUUUCAGAUAUGGAUACUUGUUUGGCAAAUGUUAUGUUU
ensembl:lncRNA